CAGUCAACCACAGAUGUGGCAUCGACCUCGAACCCACGUGUGCUGUUGUGUCCUCUGUUCAAAUCAUACACUUCAGUAUUUGUCUAGAGUAUAUGAGCAUUUUCUGUAUUGUUGUUCGCCUCAGGGAAUCCAUCCAGAGGCUGUGAGUGACCUGGUGGUGAAGAAACCCAAGUCGGUGGGGAAGACUGGAGUCAAGUCCACACUCUACAGAGCGUAUGCUGAGGGAAUAUCCAGCUUGGAGUUGGUACCAUCUCAGCUGUGCUGACCUGGAAGAUGUCAGCAAUGACUUGUUCUUUAAGGCCAGUUGCUACUCUACAACAGUAGAUGAAAAACUCAUCAAUGGCUGGAAUCUUCCUUGAAGGGCUUGGUGUUGGAAUCGCCUCUUGUCCAAUCCUCUGUGCUUUGCUCCAAUAAAGAAUAUAUUGUGUUGAGGGGCAAAACAGACUCCCAAAACACUUGAAACACUUCUUGAGAUGGAAACCGAGUAUAAUAUGUCAUGGUCUGAUCAGACACACAAAAUCUGUUGAGGACAGUUUGUGGCCCCAUGGACAUUUCUUGCAGCCUUGCCUCCAGCUCAGCAAUAUACUCCAGGGCAUCAUCCAGUGCACCUACAAAAAAAAGAAGACAAAUCAGUCUUCAUUACCAUUCAUUCGUAUUCACCCUUUCUUUUUAUUGUAUUGUUAUUCUGUAUACUUAAGUUUAUUUAUAUUUAUUAUUAUAAAAUUUAUUUGUACUGUU